CCUACGGGAGGCAGCAGUGAGGAAUAUUGGUCAAUGGGCGGAAGCCUGAACCAGCCAAGUAGCGUGCAGGAUGACGGCCCUACGGGUUGUAAACUGCUUUUAUACGGGAAUAACGCGCCUUACGUGUAGGGAUUUGCAUGUACCGUAUGAAUAAGGACCGGCUAAUUCCGUGCCAGCAGCCGCGGUAAUACGGAAGGUCCGGGCGUUAUCCGGAUUUAUUGGGUUUAAAGGGAGCGUAGGCCGCAUGUCAAGCUUGUGGUGAAAUGUCCGGGCUCAACCCGGGCCUUGCAGCGUGAACUGGCGUGCUUGAGUCCGCGAGAGGCAGGCGGAAUUCGUGGUGUAGCGGUGAAAUGCUUAGAUAUGACGAAGAACCCCGAUUGCGAAGGCAGCUUGCUGCAGCGGAACUGACGCUGAUGCUCGAAAGCGCGGGUAUCGAACAGGAUUAGAUACCCCAGUAGUC
rnacentral:rRNA from 1 species